rnacentral:lncRNA from 1 species
AUGACCCAGGACACAGAAAAUCCCAUUUUCCUUUUGUUAUACCCCAAAAUACACCCAAGCCCCCAUUUUCCCUCACUUCUACCCCCAAAAUGGGCAGGGGAAUCCCUUUUUUCUUCCCUAUUACACCCCAAAAAUGACCCCAAAAUUUGGGAGCCUCCCAAAAUUUGUGCACAUGUGCCCCCAAAACUCCCUUUUCCACCUCAUUUUCCCCCAAAAUCAUCCCAAGUGCUCGUUUUCCCUUCUCAAUUUCACCCCAAAAUGCCUCCAAACCACCUCAGGACCCCAAUUCCCCCCAGUUUCACCCCAAAACCACCACAGGACUCCAGUUCCCCCAGUCUCACCCCAAAACCACCUCAGGACCCCAAUUCUUCUCACUUUCACCCCAAAACGACCUCAGGACCCCAAUUCUCCUCACUUUCACCCCAAACCACCUCAGGAUCCCAAUUCCCCCCAGUUUUAUCCCAAAACCACUUCAGGACCCCAAUUCCCCCCCGUUUCACCCCAAAACCACCUCAGGAUCCCAAUUCUCCUCAGCUUCACCUCAAAACCACCUCAGGACCCCAAUUCUCCUCAGUUUUAUCCCCAAACCAUCUCAUUUUCCCUCACUUUCACCCAAAACCACCACAGAACCCCAAUUCUUCUCACUUUCACCCCAAAACCACCUCAGGACCCCAAUUCCCCCCAGUUUUAUCCCAAAACCACUUCAGGACCCCAAUUCCCCCCCGUUUCACCCCAAAACCACCUCAGGAUCCCAAUUCUCCUCAGCUUCACCUCAAAACCACCUCAGGACCCCAAUUCUCCUCAGUUUUAUCCCCAAACCAUCUCAUUUUCCCUCACUUUCACCCAAAACCACCACAGAACCCCAAUUCUUCUCACUUUCACCCCAAAACCACCUCAGGACCCCAAUUCUCCUCAGCUUCACCUCAAAACCACCUCAGGACCCCAAUUCUCCUCAGUUUUAUCCCAAAACCAUCUCAUUUUCCCUCACUUUCACCCAAAACCACCACAGAACCCCAAUUCUUCUCACUUUCACCCCAAAACCACCUCAGGACCCCAAUUCUCCUCAGCUUCACCUCAAAACCACCUCAGGACCCCAAUUCUCCUCAGUUUUAUCCCAAAACCAUCUCAUUUUCCCUCACUUUCACCCAAAACCACCACAGAACCCCAAUUCUUCUCACUUUCACCCCAAAACCACCUCAGGACCCCAAUUCUCCUCAGCUUCACCUCAAAACCACCUCAGGACCCCAAUUCUCCUCAGUUUUAUCCCAAAACCAUCUCAUUUUCCCUCACUUUCACCCAAAACCACCGCGCCCCCUCACAAUGGUACGUCCCGGUCGGGUGAACGCGCGCAGUGCGCAUGCGCGGGGCGAACCAUUGCGCAGCAGAAGGGGGAGGGGCGCUGCGCAGCGCGCGUGCGCACUGACGGAAAGUGGGCGAAGCGGAAGUGGCGGCGCCAUUUUGUGGGCGGCGCCAUUUUGUGGGCGGUGCCAUUUUGUGGGCGGCGCCAUUUUGUGGGCGGCGCCAUUUUGUGGGCGGCGUUGGGAAACGGAGUCCGCGUUCCGUUUUGGGGUAAAAGUGAGGAAAAAUGGGUCUGCGGCGCGUGUUUGUGGUACUGAAGAGGGGGAAUGGGGCUCCUCCGUCCGUUUUAGUGUAUAAGCGAGGGGAAAAUGGGGCCCUUCGUUCAUUUUGGGGGAUAUAAAUGAGGGAAAAGGGGAGAAAUUACCGUUUUUUUGAGUAAAAUUGGGGGGGAAACUGGGGAAAUUGGUUCAUUUUGGGGUAAAACUGAGGGAAAAUAAACGUCCUUGUUCCAUUUUGGGGGGUGUGAGG